GUCAGGAUAGCUCAGUUGGUAGAGCAGAGGACUGAAAAUCCUCGUGUUACCAGUUCAAAUAUGGUUUUCUUCG
rnacentral:tRNA from 1 species